AACGAACGCUGGCGGCGUGCUUAACACAUGCAAGUCGAACGGGAUCCGGGGCUUCGGCUCUGGUGAGAGUGGCGAACGGGUGAGUAACGCGUAGGGACCUGCCCGGGUGGUUCGGAAUAACUGCUGGAAACGGCAGCUAAUACCGGAUGAGCCCGCGAGGGGAAAGCGCUAUGGAGCGCCAUCGGAGGGGCCUGCGUCCGAUUAGCUAGUUGGUGGGGUAACGGCCUACCAAGGCGGUGAUCGGAGCUGGUCUGAGAGGAUGAUCAGCCACACUGGGACUGCGACACGGCCCAGACUCCUACGGGAGGCAGCAGUGGGGAAUAUUGGACAAUGGGGGCAACCCUGAUCCAGCAACGCCGCGUGGGUGACGAAGG
rnacentral:rRNA from 1 species